rnacentral:rRNA from 1 species
UACAGAGGUCCCGAGCGUUGUUCGGAUUCACUGGGCGUAACGGGUGCGUCGGUGGUGAGGUAAGUCGGAUGUGAAAUCUCCGAGCUCAACUCGGAAAUGGCAUUGGAAACUACCUUGCUCGAGGGUUGGAGGGGGGACUGGAAUACUUGGUGUAGCAGUGAAAUGCGUAGAUAUCAAGUGGAACACCAGUGGCGAAGGCGAGUCCCUGGACAACUCCUGACACUGAGGCACGAAAGCUAGGGGAGCAAACAGG